AUUCAGUUGAGGAGAGAACCCUUUUGGUAGCUGCAACCCUCUUUUCUACCGACCACAACGAUCCGCCAAAGGAAAUUGAAUUGGCAACAUCAGUAAACGACGCCAGAGUUGCUCCCAUGCUGCCGAAAAGGAAAAGAACAAGAAGGAGCAGGGCGAAAGAGAAUACGAGCCAAAGAAGAAGUGGAAAUAAUACAACUUUGCGUUCCUUGUUAAGGAUCAAAGGAAACCUACCCCAAUCUCGAUUUCGAGGUCCUCCGUUCCUCUUCAUUCUUACCCCUCUAUCUAUCUCUCUCGUUACUAAAGACAUAAAUCAAGCAAAAUGUUUGAUAUCCAUAUUAUGCUCUAUUUAAAACCAUUUACUAUGACAUCUUGCUUUUCACAUAACAAUUGAUUCUUUUGUCUUGACACUAC
rnacentral:misc_RNA from 1 species